CACAGAAUGGGCAGAGGCUGCCCAGCAGACCUCAUUCUCCAUGCCACCUCCCCAAGAGAUGAUUGAAGAACUUUGAUCACCACGCCACGUUUGGUAGGGAAGUUCCUUCUGGAGGAUUUGUUCAAAGCCCUGGCUGUUGUAGGCCAUUACUGAACCCAUCUGAGAAUGUGAAAAAGAAAGGAGGAUGAAGGAAUGAAUAUUCUUGGAGUAUCAGUGCCUGGCAGUGUGUGAAUUGCCUAUCAUACAAAGGCCAGUUAAAAUCCUCCUAAAGGUGGGAGAAGCUGUGAUGCUACUCCAGUCCUACAGCUGAAGAAACUGAUCUAUGAUUUUAAAAGUUGCCCAGGAUGAUGCAUCAUCCAUGAAAAACCCAAAACAAAGGCCUGUGUUGUAAAUAUAUUUGAGUCCAGACCACAGGCUCCUCAUCUGUGAGGGAAGAAAGUCAGAGUUCUUGGAAGAUCCAGCUCACUUGACAUAUGAUGAGAACCUCCAGGGAGAAAACCUCCAUGCCUAAGGCCAGGAAAACGUCCCCAGUGUGAGCAGGCCUGGCACCCGUCCCUUGGCAGCAGCACUCUUUGGCCACUGGAUGCCAUCUGCUGCUGGCCCUCAGUGGUGCCCUGGGCCUUGCCAGGCAUGGGUGAAGACCAAGCUCCAUCACUCCUCCCAGAAAUGGUGGCCUCUGCGGGCAACGAGCCUGCUUGUCAGAGCCACCUGCUGGCCACCACACUGCAGCACCAAACCCCACUGACGCCGGAAGCCCAGGUUAACCUUCUGAGUCUUGGGGCAGGCCUGCAGCUUUGCCUCUUCUUGACUACCAGACAUUAGUGCCGCAGCAAAUUCACAGCUCCAGCCAUGAGCACGGCACAUUUGGUAUAAAGUGUAAAUAUUUGAAUGCUAAUUGCUGUAACACAAACAGGCCACCGUGUCCAAAGCAGAUGAAUGCUGUUUCAGGAAGCCAGCAGACCCGGGUGCACAGGCAGCUUGUGUUGGGACUGCACAGCCAAUGACAGACGUCUGGAGCCCAUUGCACCUCCCCAGCCCCACAGGGAGCUGCCAGAGUGGCUCACAUAUGUGAGGCUUUGCCUCUCAGCCAUCACCCAUCUGCCCAGUCUCACUUGAGGAAAACCUGUCCUGGGAAAGUGACCUGACCCAGAAAAAUAAAGCCAUCGUCUUUAAGAGCAGCCUGCUGUCAUCCAACCCAAGCACGCCACUGUCUGUCCCCUGGACGUGUCUUUGCCCAGACCCACCAGCCAGCAACUCCAGCAAACAGAAAUGGGAUGCUCCUGGAAAGAGAGUGUGAGAGCAUCCCUUGGUCUGGUUAAUGUGAGCAACUUCCCUGAUACUUGUCAUAGCAGCUUGUGUCAGAGAAGCGGAAAAAUUAUUAAAAUUGUGAAAUUGGUACUUGAGGAG
rnacentral:lncRNA from 1 species